UACGUAGGGUGCGAGCGUUAAUCGGAAUUACUGGGCGUAAAGCGUGCGCAGGCGGUUUUGUAAGCCAGAUGUGAAAUCCCCGAGCUUAACUUGGGAACUGCAUUUGGGACUGCAAGGCUAGAGUACGGCAGAGGGGGGUAGAAUUCCUGGUGUAGCAGUGAAAUGCGUAGAUAUCAGGAGGAAUACCGAUGGCGAGGGCAGCCCCCUGGGUCGAUACUGACGCUCAUGCACGAAAGCGUGGGGAGCAAACAGG
rnacentral:rRNA from 1 species